GAAAAUUUAGUUAAAAGAUAACCUUAGCUUGUCAUGCUAAAAUCACCCCUAAAGGUAAUUUUCU
rnacentral:tRNA from 1 species